rnacentral:snRNA from 1 species
GUCCUCAGCGACGGACCGGG